GAAAAAUAAUUUUAAGAUAAAAUGUGGACUUAGAUUGCGGUGAUUGUAACUGUUGUGACAUAGUUGAACGGAAGCCUCCGUCAUUCUUCAUAAUGGUCCAUAAAUUGUCUGUGAACUGUAAACUACUAGAACUGCCUAUUUGUUAAUAGAUAAUAACCACGUGCCUUUCUCUUUCAGUCACUGUGGUGUAAAAAAGAAGCUCAACGAGACGUGAAUCCAUGUUAUACACUUAAACGAAGUGCAGUCUUUAUAAAAGUUGAUCUUUUCUCUGAUGGGAGGACUUGUCAGUGAUAGUGGCUGUGUGUACCAUAACAAGUACUGUCAAAGAAUUUUCGUCCUUCGUUUUUACAUAGGUUAGACCACCUCAAUAAAGAAACCGAAGACAAAUAUCAUCCUUGGUGAGGUGAAUAGUAGACAGUGUUCCAAACUAUUCGUAAGAGUUGUCUGCCUUACGGUACCAACAUCUUUUAAUUACACAUAUGUAUUACGGCAGAGGUUUGGUGAGAAGGGGUUUUAAAUCCUGUAAAAUAAAAUAUUUGCAAAAGCUGUCUUCCUUGUGGUAAUAACAUCGUGUCAUGCGCAUGUGUGUUAAGAAAGACAUUUGGUUGCACAAAACGCAUAUGUUUGAAAUUAAAUGUUACUAC